ACUAUCGUUAACUGAAUACAUAGGUUAACGAGGCGAACCGGGGGAACUGAAACAUCUAAGUACCCCGAGGAAAAGAAAUCAACCGAGAUUCCCCCAGUAGCGGCGAGCGAACGGGGAGCAGCCCGGAGUCUGAAUCAGCUUGUGUGUUAGUGGAACGGUCUGGAAAGUCCGACGGUACAGGGUGAUAGUCCCGUACACGAAAGCACACUUGCUGUGAACUCGAAGAGUAGGGCGGGACACGUGGUAUCCUGUCUGAAUAUGGGGGGACCAUCCUCCAAGGCUAAAUACUCCUGACUGACCGAUAGUGAACCAGUACCGUGAGGGAAAGGCGAAAAGAACCCCGGCGAGGGGAGUGAAAAAGAACCUGAAACCGUGUACGUACAAGCAGUGGGAGCACCUUCGUGGUGUGACUGCGUACCUUUUGUAUAAUGGGUCAGCGACUUAUAUUCUGUAGCAAGGUUAACCGUAUAGGGGAGCCGAAGGGAAACCGAGUCUUAACUGGGCGUUAAGUUGCAGGGUAUAGACCCGAAACCCGGUGAUCUAGCCAUGGGCAGGUUGAAGGUUGGGUAACACUAACUGGAGGACCGAACCGACUAAUGUUGAAAAAUUAGCGGAUGACCUGUGGCUGGGGGUGAAAGGCCAAUCAAACCGGGAGAUAGCUGGUUCUCCCCGAAAGCUAUUUAGGUAGCGCCUCGUGAACUCAUCUUCGGGGGUAGAGCACUGUUUCGGCUAGGGGGCCAUCCCGGCUUACCAACCCGAUGCAAACUACGAAUACCGAAGAAUGUUAUCACGGGAGACACACGGCGGGUGCUAACGUCCGUCGUGAAGAGGGAAACAACCCAGACCGCCAGCUAAGGUCCCAAAGUCAUGGUUAAGUGGGAAACGAUGUGGGAAGGCACAGACAGCCAGGAUGUUGGCUUAGAAGCAGCCAUCAUUUAAAGAAAGCGUAAUAGCUCACUGGUCGAGUCGGCCUGCGCGGAAGAUGUAACGGGGCUAAACCAUGCACCGAAGCUGCGGCAGCGACACUAUGUGUUGUUGGGUAGGGGAGCGUUCUGUAAGCCGUUGAAGGUGUGCUGUGAGGCAUGCUGGAGGUAUCAGAAGUGCGAAUGCUGACAUAAGUAACGAUAAAGCGGGUGAAAAGCCCGCUCGCCGGAAGACCAAGGGUUCCUGUCCAACGUUAAUCGGGGCAGGGUGAGUCGACCCCUAAGGCGAGGCCGAAAGGCGUAGUCGAUGGGAAACAGGUUAAUAUUCCUGUACUUGGUGUUACUGCGAAGGGGGGACGGAGAAGGCUAUGUCAGCCGGGCGACGGUUGUCCCGGUUUAAGCAUGUAGGCGGAGGUUCCAGGUAAAUCCGGUACCUUAUUAACGCUGAGGUGUGAUGACGAGGCACUACGGUGCUGAAGUGAUAAAUGCCCUGCUUCCAGGAAAAGCCUCUAAGCAUCAGGUAACACGAAAUCGUACCCCAAACCGACACAGGUGGUCAGGUAGAGAAUACCAAGGCGCUUGAGAGAACUCGGGUGAAGGAACUAGGCAAAAUGGUGCCGUAACUUCGGGAGAAGGCACGCUGAUGUGUAGGUGAAGUCCCUGCGGACGGAGCUGAAAUCAGUCGAAGAUACCAGCUGGCUGCAACUGUUUAUUAAAAACACAGCACUGUGCAAACACGAAAGUGGACGUAUACGGUGUGACGCCUGCCCGGUGCCGGAAGGUUAAUUGAUGGGGUUAGCUGUAAGGCGAAGCUCUUGAUCGAAGCCCCGGUAAACGGCGGCCGUAACUAUAACGGUCCUAAGGUAGCGAAAUUCCUUGUCGGGUAAGUUCCGACCUGCACGAAUGGCGUAAUGAUGGCCAGGCUGUCUCCACCCGAGACUCAGUGAAAUUGAACUCGCUGUGAAGAUGCAGUGUACCCGCGGCAAGACGGAAAGACCCCGUGAACCUUUACUAUAGCUUGACACUGAACACUGGUCCUUGAUGUGUAGGAUAGGUGGGAGGCUUUGAAGCGUGGACGCCAGUCUGCGUGGAGCCGCCCUUGAAAUACCACCCUUUAAUGGCUGGUGUUCUAACGUAGACCCGUAAUCCGGGUUGCGGACAGUGUCUGGUGGGUAGUUUGACUGGGGCGGUCUCCUCCCAAAGAGUAACGGAGGAGCACGAAGGUUGGCUAAUCCUGGUCGGACAUCAGGAGGUUAGUGCAAUGGCAUAAGCCAGCUUGACUGCGAGCGUGACGGCGCGAGCAGGUGCGAAAGCAGGUCAUAGUGAUCCGGUGGUUCUGAAUGGAAGGGCCAUCGCUCAACGGAUAAAAGGUACUCCGGGGAUAACAGGCUGAUACCGCCCAAGAGUUCAUAUCGACGGCGGUGUUUGGCACCUCGAUGUCGGCUCAUCACAUCCUGGGGCUGAAGUAGGUCCCAAGGGUAUGGCUGUUCGCCAUUUAAAGUGGUACGCGAGCUGGGUUUAGAACGUCGUGAGACAGUUCGGUCCCUAUCUGCCGUGGGCGCUGGAGAAUUGAGGGGGGCUGCUCCUAGUACGAGAGGACCGGAGUGGACGCAUCACUGGUGUUCGGGUUGUCAUGCCAAUGGCACUGCCCGGUAGCUAAAUGCGGAAGAGAUAAGUGCUGAAAGCAUCUAAGCACGAAACUUGCCCCGAGAUGAGUUCU
rnacentral:rRNA from 1 species